GGGUGGAGGAGGAGGAAGGGGGAGGUGACACCUCUUCCUCACCACCCCCCAGCAUGGGACAUCAGGAUUGUCCCCCUGCACCUCUGCUGCCCGGGAUGGGGCUCAGCCUGGGGAGGGGGCAGCACCCGGGCUCCUCUCCAGGCAUGGAUCACUCCCUGGAUCCCAGUAUCCCCAGUACACAGGGUGGGCAGCACCAGUGCCUCUACAGCUCCUGCCCAGCAAUGGGACCCAGAGAGGGGAACAUCACCCUGGGUACCCCAGGAACAGGAGGGUUUCAGAGGUGACUUGUCCCCUGCCCCAGCAGCUCCAGAGAAGUCACCGAUGAUCAAAGGAACCUUUUCCAUCCUGUGACUCCAGCCCAGACUCCCCUUUGCUCUGGAAAAGCUCUUUUUUUUUUCUUCCAGAAGGUUACAAAUUAAAUUCUCUUCCGCCAUCCUUUCUGUUCCUCCCACAUUAAAGAAGCAAAAAACCCAAAGGAACACAAGGAACAAAGCAGACAAGGAACUUGGCAGGAACAUUGUUCCUCCCUGGUGCCUUUUUUCCUGCCUUGGUCUCAGAAGCCCAAGCCCUGGGUGCCUCUCCUGGGGUCUCAGCCCAGCUCCCAGCCUGGCCCCAAACUCCAUCACCCACUGAGCCCUCCUGGCACACACCAACCACCUCCACUUCCCACUUCCUGACCUCUUCCAUAGGCCAAAACUCCAGUUUGGGACUUUUUUUUUUUUCUUUUUUCUCCUUUUAGAUGAUUACUAAGGGUGAAUCCCUCCUCUGUCACCACCAGGAGCUGGACUUGAAAACGGGAGACACAGCAAAGCCCCCCCCUGUUCCUUCCAAGGAUGGGAAGCUGCUGGGUGGGAUUUCUUUGGGAUUUAAGGACAGAGGUGGAACCACACAUGGAAUGUCUCUGUUUGGUCACUCUAAGCUGAAUUUCAUCACUGGAUCCACGUGAGAGCUCAGGGACACCAAAACCCUCUCAGAGGGGAUCCCUCUCCCAGCUCCCACCCCUGCCAGGAGCACCCAUGGGUGCACAGAGGCCAAACCUGCUCCCAUUCCUCUGGGAUGGGUCUGAGCUGGGUGGUUUGUGUCUCAUCCCAUCUUGAACUUCAGCAGCAAGAGGAUGGAAAACCCUGGGGACCUUUCCCAGAAAGGAUGAGGGGGAGCUGGGACCAGAUCCCAAACCCCUGGAUGGAAACCAGGCUGGAGGAGGAAUUUGAUGGAGAGAACACACAAGGAAAAGCUUCAGGAAGGCCAAAGGAUGGAGGAAACCUGCCCAAGGGAUGGAGGAAACCAUCCAAAGGAUGGAGGAAACUUGGAUUAGGGAUGGAGAAAACCUGGCUGGUAAAUCAAAUGAGAUUGGGGGAAAAGGAGA